rnacentral:rRNA from 2 species
UUAAAUUGAAGAGUUUGAUCAUGGCUCAGAUUGAACGCUGGCGGCAGGCCUAACACAUGCAAGUCGAACGGUAACAGGAAGCAGCUUGCUGCUUCGCUGACGAGUGGCGGACGGGUGAGUAAUGUCUGGGAAACUGCCUGAUGGAGGGGGAUAACUACUGGAAACGGUGGCUAAUACCGCAUAACGUCGCAAGACCAAAGAGGGGGACCUUCGGGCCUCUUGCCAUCAGAUGUG